rnacentral:rRNA from 1 species
GGCUCAGGAUGAACGCUAGCUACAGGCUUAACACAUGCAAGUCGAGGGGCAUCAGGGAUCUAGCUUGCUAGAUCUGCUGGCGACCGGCGCACGGGUGAGUAACGCGUAUCCAACCUUCCCCAUAGUAGAGGAUAGCCCGGUGAAAAUCGGAUUAAUACUCUAUGUUGUAUAACUAGGACAUCUGAAUUAUACCAAAGGUUUACCGCUAUGGGAUGGGGAUGCGUCUGAUUAGGUUGUGGCGGGGUAACGGCCCACCAAGCCAUCGAUCAGUAGGGGUUCUGAGAGGAAGGUCCCCCACAUUGGAACUGAGACACGGUCCAAACUCCUACGGGAGGCAGCAGUGAGGAAUAUUGGUCAAUGGGCGCGAGCCUGAACCAGCCAAGUAGCGUGCAGGAUGACGGCCCUAUGGGUUGUAAACUGCUUUUAUGCGGGGAUAAAGUGCAGCACGUGUGCUGUUUUGUAGGUACCGCAUGAAUAAGGACCGGCUAAUUCCGUGCCAGCAGCUGC